UCGGCCUCCCAAAGUGCUGGGAUUACAGGCUUGAGCCACCGCGCCUGGCCCAGGCUGAAUUAUUUCUAUCUUCUCUUCCAGGACACGCAGAGAUAUCCAGCCCGGGGUGUGGGGUAUUAAGGAAUGAAUCUACAACGAAUUGCCAACUGACUGACCAAGUCCAUUAUGGUGACAGCAUUCACUCGGGUCUAACUUCCUGACUGCCGCCAUGUGUCCGCUGCCCUCUCUGUGAGCGCCUCCUUCAUGGAAAGGCUUUCAGAUCGUCGCACGGACAAACUCAAGAUGCUGAAUCCGGGUUGUUUACAAAACUGAGUACAAGUUACAUCCUCAGGCUCAUUUCUCAACUUCCCUCCCUCAGGAGCAGCCACACCGCAAGACAUUGUGUAGCUUACAGACCAUUUUCAAUAAAUCCUCCUUACGAAUCA